rnacentral:misc_RNA from 1 species
UCUCCGUAGGUGAACCUGCGGAGGGAUCAUUACAGAGUUCAUGCCCUACCGGGUAGAUCUCCCACCCUAUGUUAUUAUUACUUUGUUGCUUUGGCGGGCCGUUAGGCUCCGGCCCGACUACCGGCCCCGGCUGGUAAGCGCCCGCCAGAGGACCCAAAACUCUUAUUAUUAAUGUCGUCUGAGUACUAUAUAAUAGUUAAAACUUUCAACAACGGAUCUCUUGGUUCUG